CUUGACGGUACCUAAUCAGAAAGCCACGGCUAACUACGUGCCAGCAGCCGCGGUAAUACGUAGGUGGCAAGCGUUAUCCGGAAUUAUUGGGCGUAAAGCGCGCGUAGGCGGUUUUUUAAGUCUGAUGUGAAAGCCCACGGCUCAACUGUGGAGGGUCAUUGGAAACUGGAAAACUUGAGUGCAGAAGAGGAAAGUGGAAUUCCAUGUGUAGCGGUGAAAUGCGCAGAGAUAUGGAGGAACACCAGUGGCGAAGGCGACUUUCUGGUCUGUAACUGACGCUGAUGUGCGAAAGC
rnacentral:rRNA from 1 species